rnacentral:rRNA from 1 species
UACGGAGGAUGCGAGCGUUAUCCGGAUUUAUUGGGUUUAAAGGGUGCGCAGGCGGUCUGUUAAGUCAGCGGUCAAAGCCCGGGGCUCAACCCCGGCCCGCCGUUGAAACUGGCAGUCUCGAGUUGGAGAGAAGUAUGCGGAAUGCGCGGUGUAGCGGUGAAAUGCAUAGAUAUUAGGAGGAACACCAGUGGCGAAGGCGAUUUGCUGGGCCAUCACUGACGCUGAGGUACGAAAGCGUGGGGAGCAAAUAGG